rnacentral:rRNA from 1 species
AUAGCGGAGGAAAAGAAACCAACAGGGAUUGCCCUAGUAACGGCGAGUGAAGCGGCAACAGCUCAAAUUUGAAAGCUGGCCUUCGGGUCCGCAUUGUAAUUUGUAGAGGAUGCUUUGGGUGAAACGCCAGUCUAAGUUCCUUGGAACAGGACGUCAUAGAGGGUGAGAAUCCCGUAUGUGACUGGAAAUGUUAACCUAUGUAAAGCUCCUUCGACGAGUCGAGUUGUUUGGGAAUGCAGCUCUAAAUGGGAGGUAAAUUUCUUCUAAAGCUAAAUAUUGGCGAGAGACCGAUAGCGCACAAGUAGAGUGAUCGAAAGAUGAAAAGCACUUUGGAAAGAGAGUUAAAAAGCACGUGAAAUUGUUGAAAGGGAAGCGCUUGCAAUCAGACUUGUUUAAACUGUUCGGCCGGUCUUCUGACCGGUUUACUCAGUUUGGACAGGCCAGCAUCAGUUUCGGCGGCCGGAUAAAGGCUCUGGGAAUGUGGCCUUCACUUCGGUGAAGGUGUUAUAGCCCAGGGUGUAAUACGGCCAGCCGGGACUGAGGUCCGCGCUCGGCUAGGAUGCUG